rnacentral:lncRNA from 1 species
UUCGUUAUACAAAUUAAUCGUCAAAAUAGUACUACUAAAGAACCGCAAAUAUAUGCUUAAACUAAAAUUUGCUCUUUUUAGUAAGUCCAUUUCGGAUACUCUACUUGUUAUAAUUGAUUACUACAAUAUUCGCUUCUUUUGAUUAAAAAUAAGUGCAGAAUCAAUUUUAAUAUAUAAGAGUUAAAUAUCACUAAAUAAAAGUUAACAUCUAUCAAUACCAAAAUUAACUAUAUUACUAGUUCACCUCUUUCGAUUACAUAAUUAAUAAGUUAAUAUGUAGUACGAAAUAGAUAGAUGUUAACAAAUUAAAUAACACUUAACUAUAAAAAAGAUAAAAUUCAAAUGAAAAACUUCAUCUCAGAUAUCUGAAAUUGAGGGAUAAUAUCUACUAUUAUAUAGAAAUAUUAAGAUUCGUCAUUCUUCCAACACAAGAAAAGUUACUCUAUAAUGAAUUCAGUACUGACAACGAAAAUAUUCUUGGCCAUUAAAUAAGAAAAUAGAAAAAAAUAUUUAAGAGAAUAAUUUCCUCUAUUUAAUUAAAAAGAGGUGCUAGAGUGAUUUUUAAUAUUAUAAUUUAUUCGAAACUAAAAAUGAAGACAUUGUAAUAACUAAAAGAAGAAAAGAAAGUAAUGAAAGAAGCCAGGAAAAGAAGAAGCUCUCCCUAUUUUUCGUUGU